AUACGGAGGAUCCGAGCGUUAUCCGGAUUUAUUGGGUUUAAAGGGAGCGUAGGCGGACGCUUAAGUCAGUUGUGAAAGUUUGCGGCUCAACCGUAAAAUUGCAGUUGAUACUGGGUGUCUUGAGUACAGUAGAGGCAGGCGGGAGUUGUGGGGUGGCGGGGGAAUGCUUAGAUAUCACGAAGAACUCCGAUUGCGAAGGCAGCCUGCUGGACUGUAACUGACGCUGAUGCUCGAAAGUGUGGGUAUCAAACAGGAUUAGAUACCCUGGUAGUCCACACAGUAAACGAUGAAUACUCGCUGUUUGCGAUAUACAGUAAGCGGCCAAGCGAAAGCGUUAAGUAUUCCACCUGGGGAGUACGCCGGCAACGGUGAAACUCAAAGGAAUUGACGGGG
rnacentral:rRNA from 1 species